GACGAACGCUGGCGGCGUGCUUAACACAUGCAAGUCGAACGGCAAGGCCUGCUUUCCCUUGUGGUUUGCGGGUACUCGAGUGGCCAACGGGUGAGUAACACGUGAUUGAUCUUCCCCCAACUUGGGUCUUAGCCUGGGAAACUCGGUCUACUUCUCGAUAGGACUGCAGGGUGCUGCCUGUGGUGGAAACCGAUUUUCUUGUGUUCGGGGAUGUGCUCGCGGCCUAUCAGCUUGUUGGUGGGGUAAUGGCCUACCAAGGCGUCGAGGGGUAGCCGGACUGAGAGGGUGGACGGCCACAUUGGGACUGGGAUACGACCCAGACUGCUACGGGAGGCAGGAGUGGGGAAUAUUGCACAAUGAGCGGGAGCCUGAUGCAGCGAGGCCGCGUGGGGGAUGACGGCGUUCGGGUUGUAAACUCCUGGCGACGGCGAGGAAGACACCUGGUUGGAAGGGUGGUGACGGUAGUGGUAGAAGAAGCACCGGCUAACUACGUG
rnacentral:rRNA from 1 species